rnacentral:rRNA from 1 species
CCCUUAGAUGUCCUGGGCUGCACGCGCGCUACACUGAUGUGUCCAGUAAGCACCUAACCUCUUCCGAAAGGAACGGGUAACCUCUGCAAAGCACAUCGUGAUGGGGAUAGAUUAUUGCAAUUAUUAGUCUUGAACGAGGAAUUCCUAGUAAGCACAAGUCAUCAGCUUGUGUUGAUUACGUCCCUGCCCUUUGUACACACCGCCCGUCGCUCCUACCGAUUGAAUGUUCCGGUGAGCUCUUCGGACUGCGCGGUCUGCAGUUUCUGCGUUCCGUGCGGAAAGUUGCGCAAACCUUAACAUUUAGAGGAAGGAGAAGUCGUAACA